GAGACGCGGACUUCCUGUUAUGAAUGUGUUUUAGCGCCCCUCCGAAGAGGCACGAGCUCUCACGGUGUUUAGGGAAGUUUCAAACAAACCUGGAAACAUCAGUUAAAGUCUCGACCAUCUUCCGGGGGACAUGCUCCACAAAGCCUUGGGUGGGUGGCAGCUCGUGGACCUAAAUCCCAUGAAAACAUAUUGUUGUGGAUACUGACGGAAGUUUGCCGGCUCUGGUUUCGCCUUCUCUGGCUCUUGUCCCUCGUGUUUUCAGCGGCAUCGCUGCUGCGCUUCAACCGCGACUCCAUUGUUUGAGUUUUCAAGGCGGCAGUGAUGACAGGUGACGACAGGUGGUGACAGAUGAUGACAGCUCUGAAGCAAACAUCUCCGCAGGAGCAGAGUGGGAGCUGUCGCUCUCUGUGGGUUGGGAACAUUGCAGUAGAAGUUACAGAGAAAGACCUCUGGGAUCUCUUCAAAACGUUUGGUGAGAUAGAGAGCAUCGAGUUC